rnacentral:rRNA from 1 species
UACGUAGGCAGCAAGCGUUGUUCGGAGUUACUGGGCGUAAAGGGUGCGUAGGCGGCUCUGUAAGUAUGGUGUGAAAUCUCCCGGCUUAACUGGGAGGGUGCGCUAUAGACUGCGGGGCUCGAGUGUGGGAGAGGAGAGUGGAAUUCCUGGUGUAGCGGUGAAAUGCGCAGAUAUCAGGAAGAACACCCGUGGCUAAGGCGGCUCUCUAGUACGGUACUGACGCUGAGACGCGAAAGCGUGGGGAGCGAACAGG